GAAUGCUGACAUAAGUAACGAUAAAGCGGGUGAAAAGCCCGCUCGCCGGAAGACCAAGGGUUCCUGUCCAACGUUAAUCGGGGCAGGGUGAGUCGACCCCUAAGGCGAGGCCGAAAGGCGUAGUCGAUGGGAAACAGGUUAAUAUUCCUGUACUUGGUGUUACUGCGAAGGGGGGACGGAGAAGGCUAUGUUGGCCGGGCGACGGUUGUCCCGGUUUAAGCGUGUAGGCUGGUUUUCCAGGCAAAUCCGGAAAACCAAGGCUGAGGCGUGAUGACGAGGCACUACGGUGCUGAAGCAACAAAUGCCCUGCUUCCAGGAAAAGCCUCUAAGCAUCAGGUAACAUCAAAUCGUACCCCAAACCGACACAGGUGGUCAGGUAGAGAAUACCAAGGCGCUUGAGAGAACUCGGGUGAAGGAACUAGGCAAAAUGGUGCCGUAACUUCGGGAGAAGGCACGCUGAUAUGUAGGUGAAGCGACUUGCUCGUGGAGCUGAAAUCAGUCGAAGAUACCAGCUGGCUGCAACUGUUUAUUAAAAACACAGCACUGUGCAAACACGAAAGUGGACGUAUACGGUGUGACGCCUGCCCGGUGCCGGAAGGUUAAUUGAUGGGGUUAGCGGCAACGCGAAGCUCUUGAUCGAAGCCCCGGUAAACGGCGGCCGUAACUAUAACGGUCCUAAGGUAGCGAAAUUCCUUGUCGGGUAAGUUCCGACCUGCACGAAUGGCGUAAUGAUGGCCAGGCUGUCUCCACCCGAGACUCAGUGAAAUUGAACUCGCUGUGAAGAUGCAGUGUACCCGCGGCAAGACGGAAAGACCCCGUGAACCUUUACUAUAGCUUGACACUGAACAUUGAGCCUUGAUGUGUAGGAUAGGUGGGAGGCUUUGAAGUGUGGACGCCAGUCUGCAUGGAGCCGACCUUGAAAUACCACCCUUUAAUGUUUGAUGUUCUAACGUUGGCCCGUAAUCCGGGUUGCGGACAGUGUCUGGUGGGUAGUUUGACUGGGGCGGUCUCCUCCUAAAGAGUAACGGAGGAGCACGAAGGUUGGCUAAUCCUGGUCGGACAUCAGGAGGUUAGUGCAAUGGCAUAAGCCAGCUUGACUGCGAGCGUGACGGCGCGAGCAGGUGCGAAAGCAGGUCAUAGUGAUCCGGUGGUUCUGAAUGGAAGGGCCAUCGCUCAACGGAUAAAAGGUACUCCGGGGAUAACAGGCUGAUACCGCCCAAGAGUUCAUAUCGACGGCGGUGUUUGGCACCUCGAUGUCGGCUCAUCACAUCCUGGGGCUGAAGUAGGUCCCAAGGGUAUGGCUGUUCGCCAUUUAAAGUGGUACGCGAGCUGGGUUUAGAACGUCGUGAGACAGUUCGGUCCCUAUCUGCCGUGGGCGCUGGAGAACUGAGGGGGGCUGCUCCUAGUACGAGAGGACCGGAGUGGACGCAUCACUGGUGUUCGGGUUGUCAUGCCAAUGGCACUGCCCGGUAGCUAAAUGCGGAAGAGAUAAGUGCUGAAAGCAUCUAAGCACGAAACUUGCCCCGAGAUGAGUUCUCCCUGAGACUUAGAGUCUCCUGAAGGAACGUUGAAGACGACGACGUUGAUAGGCCGGGUGUGUAAGCGCAGCGAUGCGUUGAGCUAACCGGUACUAAUGAACCGUGAGGCUUAACCUUACAACGCCGAAG
rnacentral:rRNA from 1 species